rnacentral:tRNA from 1 species
UCUGUAGCUCAGUUGGAUAGAGCAACGGCCUUCUAAGCCGUAGGUCAUGGGUUCGAAUCCCCUCAG